GGCUCUAUAGUGUAGUGGUUAUCACAUCGGAUUCUGAACCAAGUUUCAAGUAUUCCGGUAACGCAGGUUCGAGCCCUGCUAGGGCCU